GGACCUUAUUCGAUGAAGCACAAGAGUCACCCACCGGAAAUGUGAGCACUGGAGUUGCAAGUUUCUGCUAUUUUCCCCCUUUAUCGUCCUCAUUUUGCGGUUACAGAGGAACGAAAUGGACGACCAAAGCUGUCCGAGAUGCAAAACAACCAAAUACAGGAACCCUUCGCUCAAGCUGAUGGUGAACGUGUGCGGACACACGCUAUGCGAGAACUGUGUGGAGAUGCUCUUCGUCCGCGGCUCCAGCAACUGCGUGCAGUGCGACACGCCCCUGAGGAAGAGUAACUUCCGCGUGCAGCUCUUCGAGGACCCCACGGUCGACAAGGAGGUGGAGAUUCGCAAGAAGGUGCUGAAGAUUUACAACAAGAGGGACUGCGACUUCCCCAGCCUGAGAGAAUAUAACGACUACUUGGAGCAAGUGGAGGACGUCGUGUUUAACCUUACAAACAAUGUUGAUGUGGAGGACACCAAGCUGAGGAUGGAGCAGUACCAGCGGGAGAACAGGGAGAUCAUCCAGAAGAAUAAAGCCAAGCUUACUCGAGAGCAGGAGGAACUGGAGGAGCUGCUCCUGCUGGAGCAGCAGGGCAAUGAGCAGCGGAGACUGGAUGUGCUGCAGGAGGAGCAGAGGCAACUGCUGGCCAAAAAGAAGAACAAGCAGGCUCUGCUGGAUGAACUGGAAAAAUCUCAGCUUCCUGCCUACCUCUUGCUUGCCAAACACAAGGCCCGCGUUUCCCAGCUGGAGACGGAGAUCGAGCAGCAGAAACACACGGUCAAAGCCACCAAUCACUUUUCAACAGGAAUCCAGAUGCGUCAGACGGUAUCUCUGCAAGCUGUGCCCAAGUUAGAAGAAGUGCUUUACCACUACAAGCCCCUCCGAAUUGAAACCUCAGGACCGCCGGUACCAGAGCUGGAGCAGCUGGGAAGACUCGGGCCCGCAGUGACAGCAGCACCAGUGGUGAUUUGUCUUGGAUGCAGCCGUCAAGGGGAGACGGUUGUACAUCAACACACAGGCACAAAUCCUCCCUGUUGGCUUCACAGCUUCCAGACGUGGGCUCGUGUACCGAUAUCCAGUCAACACACGGCUGAAAGGGGCGCUACUUCUCAUUCCAGAUGGACUACAUGUUCAGACAUUCAAAAGUGUCUUCUCAACUUCCCUCCCACAUUCACACACUUUUAUGGUCUCAGAUGGUCCGAUACACAGGCAGUAUUGUAUCAAAAGUUCCAUCGUCCCCAUAAAGGUAAUAUUGGUCAGAUUUAAUUAUCAGUGUCAAAAAGAUUUUGAGUUAACAACUCCAUCUAUUUUUCUCUGGUGCUUAUCAUUAUUAGCUUCACGUGUGAGCUGUAGCCUAUAUUAGUUGACUUUGGGCGAGAGGUGGGGUUCCACCUGGAGUGGUCACGAGCCAAUAUUCAUUCCGUAGUUAACCCUAUUGACAGUUAAGUCUUCAGUCUGGAGUACCCCAGAGAAAAUAACUAGAACAGCUCCUGCAACCAAACGAGAGGUUGGGAGAGGAUUUCAAACUCGGACCCUGAGAACUGUGAGGCAGAUGUGUUCACCACUCGUCAAGCAGGCGGCCUGUUUCUAAUUCUCAAGUCACUUUAUAUAGCGACAUGAGAUGCUUAUAUUAGAAACGGCUCUCAGAAUGAUGCAAAGCAGUUCUACACUGCAGCAAACAACUACAUUAAUGCCCAGUGUACCUUUAUUACCAUUCUGACAGCGUGUGCCAAAACUGAGCACUCUCUUUGUAAAGGCAGAUUAUUUGGGACAAGAUCUCUGUUUAAUGUACUUCCAUAGAAAUUAAAAAAAAUCAGUCUUUGAUAAUCUGAUAGCUGAUAGCAGCUGAUAGCUGAAGCAUGAUAUUGAAAGGUGGCAGAUGCUUUGUUAGUAAUCAACAAGCAUUAGGUCAAAUUUCCAGCCGUGAUCCUACCACUUAUUUUGUUCAGGGUCAUGGCUGAGCAGGAUCCCAUCCCAGAUGACUUUGGGCAAGAGGCGAAGUACACUGUGAAUUAUCCAUUUAGUUUAUAAUUUAUCGACGGUAUGUAGUUGUAUCAAAUAUUAGUAUCAUAAUAGAGUACUGUCUAGAGCAGGGGUGGGCAAUUAUUUUUUGCAUAGGGCCACAUGAGAACCAGAAAAUGUUAUGGAGGGUGAACUAAAUUCGACAUAAUAUUAAUUGGAUUUCUUUAUUUAAAAAGCAGUAUUUUGCAUUUUUUGACACGUUUUUCAGACUUUAAGAGUACAUUAUUCCGUCGUAUCGAACUGGAUUUGCUUGACUUGGCGCUACUGCAGGCUUCCGUAUCGUCUCCCCCUUCCUCCCUAUGCUCUGCAACUUCAAGUAACUAUGCCACCUGGCGUUGAAAUGCCUGUCAUUACAAGUCCAAAUGAAAUGAAUGCAGUCAUUGACAUCGAACCUUAAUUGUCUACCAACCUUCGGCGGGCCGGAUUAAAAAGACCAACGGGCCGGAUUUGGCCCGGGGGCCAUAGUUUGCCCGCCUCUGGUCUAGAGUCUAGACCUUUUAAGGAUACUCAGUCACCAUCAGUUGUUGCAGUCUCUUUAGUACGGUUUUAUGGGGGGGGGAAAACUAAUCCAAGAGCAGUUCUGUUUUCUCCUCGCAGCACAAAAUUAUGCCACAUGAUUUUUUUUUUCCCCAUGAAUUUGUUCCUUUGUGUAUCCCGUCACUUGGGCACCCACUCAUGCCCUAGUACUUUUAUUAAGCUUUUGAUUUCAUUAAUCAUUUGAACUGAUGGCAAUUCUACGUUCCCACUCUACUGAGCGUUUGAACUUUUAUCUCAUGUGGUAAGUGGUUCGCGUCUUGUCUCGAAUAGGCAGUCUGAUCUUUGCGACAGCGUUGUCAACAGUAUAACCACUCUUGGAAACCUGAAGGGUUGAAUGUGGGAGGAGGCUGUCUGUCUCAUGUUCAUCUUAUGUACAGCACGAAGGACCGUGCGGAAACGCUCUUUCAUUUUGCUUGGACUUGUAUGUGCGAUUGUCAUCUGGGGUCUGACUUUGUUUUCCACAAGAACACUUUUUGAAAGCUCCGGCUGUGUAGGUGAUGAAAGGCUGACUGAGAUCUUGGACAAGGACAAAUCAUAUGGGCUGGUGGGGGUAGGGAUAAGAGCAAUUGGCCACAGAGCGUUGAAACAUUUGACUCAAACCUCAAGUGCUGACAAUGAGGCCUCGCCAGAACAGUUGUUUGUGUUGGCUCUGAGCACCCCGAAAUUACCCAUCCUUCUCUGACAAAAUUUUCUCAAUGCACUUGCCAAAAGACAGCAUGUAUAAUAUUUAGAGGUUUUGCCUCCUCCCCCUGCUUUUCUUUGACAUAAUUGGUGGAAAAAGUGAGUUCUGUUGGGAGCGCUUGUCAGGCAUCUGCCGCUUGUUUCGAGGUGAUGCCGAGCAGCUGAAUGAACAGUGUUUAGUCUGGGGCUCCUCUCCUGGGAAUGCACCUCUCCAUGGGAGGAAGUGAACCUCUGUGUACUUUCUCCCACCAAAACAGGCCAGUCAGAGAGGGUUAAACUGAGAUGGGGCCCUGUAACAAAGCAUCAGUCACUGUACCUGAAUGAUUCAGUCGGCCCCUUUGUCUUCUGGAACAGUCCCACCAGAUUCAGCAGAAAAAAACUAAACUGGAAAUAUAUUGAGGGAUUUCAUUCAAUAAAUCCCUUUUCAGUUUUCGACAUUAAACGGUGCUGUGUCGGGCCAUUGCCUGACCGGGCCGCAAAAAAUUUCAGUCACGGCUGCUCAAAAUGCUCAAAAGGUGUUAAAAAAAAUAUAUAAUAAUCAUUUGUUUUUAUGUUGGUUCAGUAACCCCCGUAUUACAUACUCAUUGUCACUUGAUAUGACCAUACGUUCAGGCUCACACAAGUAAAGCAUCAAUCACUUGUACACACAUAGACUAGUCAAUUUUAACAUGUGCUUAAAGGAUGUUGCGCUCACUACUCUGGUCGUGAGCCAGAGGUUAAUGGGUCUCUGAGUGAUACUCUCCUCCUGCGUGAAGUCUUCACCCGCAGCGUACCCCAAUGAUGUCUGUGGGUUUUUGUGAUAGGCAUGUGUGAAUAUUGCCAGCGUUGUAGUGCACAGUGCCCCAAUUCCGGGCAGACAGCUUUUCGGACACUGUGGCUGUGGCUUUUGGAGUUAGCAUUACCACAAAAAGCCAUCUAUAAGGGACUUUAGAAUCUCCUUCUGUGCUUGCUAAAUUUGUCUCUAUCUGUCUCCUUUGGUUCUUCCUCUUACUUUUGAACAAAAGUCCAAGUCAGACAUGAUGUUUUUCUUUUCACACAUAAAUGUAAAUUUCCCCAGUGUGGGACAAAUAAAGGAUAUCUUAAAUUCUGAGGAUUUUCUGAAAGGGCUUCCCCAUUUAUCCCACAUUCUGUGAUCUCGGCUGGGUGCGCAUCCAUCUGAUGCGCCUGAUGUAGCUGGAGGCGGAUGAUGUGAUUGGGGAGGACCUUGAGAGGGUCAUGGGUCACUGACGGUAGUGGACCUACGGUACGGCACCGUGUACGAGAGGGUGCUGAGAGUGACAGGACCAGAGUGAUGGCACCGUGGAGAGACUGUGAACCUCACCCAGUCACACUCUCUCGCGCAAACACAGCUUUGAUGCUUAAGUUAUGAGCAGGAGGCUAUGGCGCCGGUUGAAAUGACCCCACAUGAACUCCCUGAAGAGUAGUUGUCUUUGAUCUACUCUUACUCAUAUUUUGGACUCAACGGGCCAAUAAAAAGAGUCAGCAUUGUUGCCAGAACGACUCUUUAUGGGAAUUUGGUUUGUUUGGGUCUUACAUAACAAAGGGGCUUUUCCCCUCAAAAUAAUACUUUGAGACCUAAAGUUGAACUCGGUUGCUCAGAUAUCUGAUUUGUCCUCCACUCUCAGUGCCUGUGCCGCUUUCUUGAGUUACAAUCCUUGCAAUCAUUUAAGUGCUCCUAUUGCUCUGGUCUACUUGGCUUCACUCUCGCGGCGGUCACAAAUGUUCAAAUUUGCAUAGCCAAAAGAGAUCGCAGCCGCUGUCAGAAAACAAGCUGGAGUGCAGCCAUUUGACUUGCAAAGUUGUCCAUGUUCGACGAAGCGCCCCGUGUCUUACCGCCCAUCACGUGAUUUCGGCCGAGCUUAAAUUCUCAGCCUCGGUCGUCCCGUCGGUGCGGACUUUCUUCGUUACUAACCAGAUCAAAAACAAUAUGGAGUGCAGCCAUCGUUCAAUUGUGCACCCGCCCCCACCCAGGCCAUUAUCCUGUCUGUCUCAGUAAACAGACCAUUAACAGACAGCGCUGGUGGAGGCCAAAUCACUAUUGUUUCCCCUCCCAUAGAUCUGUGCAAAUAUUGAUCCUCUCGAAGUACCAGCCUAAAUAAGUGUGCGUGGCAGUUGAGAAGCCUUUUUACUUGCCCGUGAGUCAUUUCUGAAAAGUAGCGAGCAUUACACAAGUGAGAAAGAUAUAUACAUUUUUGGUUUAUCUACAACAGCACCACUUUGAGUGUUGUUGUUUUUUCCCCCCUCUCUUUGGACUAUGCGCCAGACAGACUAGCAGUCUCCCUCUGAGAUGGAGCCGGGCACUGCAAGCCGGUUUUCCAGCAUGAAGGAAGGUUUAUUGGCGUCACAGCUUCACUGCAAGCAAGGCCAAUACUCUGCAGAGUCCACUGGGCGCCCUCCCCCCCUUCCUUUAAGCUUUUCAGGGUGGCGCAGGGUUAUCAAGUGGCAGCUCCGCAGAAGAAAGAAAGACGUGCCUCUAUAUCAAAUAGCACCCAGGAUGUGUGAUGUCUCUCCAAGCACCUUGGCUGUACUUUGACAUGAAGCCCGUCCAAGUUAGCCAGCCUCUACUGACCCCAUCAGGUCGUAUUUGGGAUGUGCAGGACCAAGACAGCGCUGUGGAUGAGUGGUGACAGGUGGCAGCUAUAGGUCAGGAAAGGACUCUCUCUUCGGGCACAUGCAAAACAAUCGGCUGUUAUCGUAGGUGAUGUCUGUAAGAGACGACAAUAUCGCUUAUCAUUAAAGCUUCUGACUUGAGGGCAACUUAGAGAUUCUCACUGGCCCUCCGUGUAUUCGGUGGGUGUCAUCCAUGUAUUAGGUGGGUGUCAAUUUCAAGUAUCAAGCAGAGAAUCUGUUAACACGCGAAACAUGUUGCUCUUAACUAAGUGCGAGUGAUAGCUUCUGCCACUUCUCCUUCAGGGAUGCAACCUCGGGUCUGUCAGUGACCAUGAUAAGACGCUUGAUAAUGGAUAAGAGGUGAUGUAACAAUACCGAGUCCCCUUAACUCGUUCACAAGUUGAGAUAAUCUGGCGGACAGUGGGCCGGCUCAUAGCCGAGGGUCCUUCUCACAUGUUGCCACAUCCCAGAGGAAGCUGGAUUCAAUGGAAAAGAGGACGACCUUUGACCCGGGGCGCUGAAAAGCUGCUGUUGACAGAUAUAGCAUACCUGUGAGAAUGUUUGCCUUGUCUGCAGGGGGUAUCUGGACCGCACUGUGGACCAAUUCCUGUACUGUGCUCUGCCGGAUUUACCGUCCGUCCCGAAGAGGAACAACUUCGCCCUUAGACAAACAUGAAUUGUGUAACCCGCUCACAGGGGCCACAAGCGCGCACCGCCUGUUACGCACAAUGUGCUCAGUGUGCUGCAUCUUCCACACGGGUACGUUUUCUCUGCGGCAGGAGCGGCGGAAAGGAGGGGCAGAUGGGGCAACCGCGUUGCGGGUGAAACCGGAGCUGCCAGUGGAAUGCUGGGAGGGGGUGUUUUUGGAGAGUAGGGUUUGGUGGGGGUAGACUUAAGGGCUAGGAUGGGUGAUUAGGGGGUGACAGCUGAGUGCUGACCCCUCUAUACUGACAAAUCAUCUGGCAGGUGUGUGGCUCUGCGCAACCACCCCUCCCUCUCCCUUCUUCCUUCGGCCUUCAUCCUUCCCAGGCCAGGAAUCCUCAACCACAGUCAGCGCUAAAGGACGACCUCCGGGCACCGUUGCUGCCAUCACGCACAACUCAUGACUGGCCUUUGACAAAUAUGUCCCGUGUUUGUCAGCUGUGCUUGUUGUGCACACAUCAAUGCACCGGUCUGAACUCAACAUGAAUAAUUUGACAUUGUCGGCGAGGCAAACCAAAAAACGGCUCUGAUCCUUUGUAGUAAAAAUGAGAGAUGACCGUGGAUCAGUCAGAGCGCCGCAAAAGCCAACAAGUGCUGAAGCUGAGGUCCAGUCUCAGGUCGCCGCUAAAACUUGAAAGGCGUCGUUGGACAUUGCAUUCAUUCAGUGGAUUGGCUCCCGAUCACAAAAACUGAACGUGCUUUAAAGCUGUUUGCUGAAUGUUGUCACGUGUAAAAGGCUGCAGUCAAACAAACAGUGCUUUGACAAUGAGCUUUUUUGUUUUUGGAAGGCGCUUUGAUUGCGUCCUCCUCUGCGUGCGUCUGCUCUGUGGUCUGCGUGUUCAUUGAGUGUCUGCCUGCUGAAAUAACCAGCGCGGCAUGUUAACAUUCUCCUUUUCUUUUCUGUCAUGCUUUCUUAAUCCAAUUCCAGUCAAUCUGAGAAGUCUAGACAAGAAGGGACCCAGCGCCUGGUAUCGUUGGUUUCCCGUUCAGAUUCGUGGCUGUUUGACUCAAGGCAUUGUGUGUCCAAACCUAACAAGGGCGCGUGCAUUCUUAGCUCUAAAUGACGCUGAACUCGCUGGAACAUUAUCUGCAUUUUUCUUUUCAUUUGAAAUGAGGGAUGUGACCGUUGUGUAAUCCAGGCUGUGGGACGAAAGAAAUCUUUCAGGGAAAUUUCUGUUAUGAGUGAUGGAAGGCUCAUGUAUCUAGGACUGCAGAUCUAAAGUGGGGGGGGGGGGGGGGGGUGGCUCAACGGCCAUUGAAAUAAUGUAAAAGCAGCAGAGAUUGCCUCCUUUAGUUUUACUUAUUUUAAUGCCAAAUAGAUGGCUGACCAAAAAAAAAAGUCGUAAAUCUUCCUGUCAAUGUGCAUGCAAGUGGAAAACCCCAUGCAUGUUUUGUGGUUUUGAUUGCAGUCUGACAUGCACACUGCCCCACCGUGUCCUUACGCUUUCUUCAUCACCUGCACUCGCCCUACACCCCCCCCCCCCCCCCAAGCGACGUAAUGGAACAAUCCAAAGUAACCCAUAUUUACACAAUAAUAUGAGGCUUUGAAAAGACUCAUAUCAAGUUGCAGCUAAUGCUCCAGUGGGGCCGAGAGAGUGAAAGAUGUUACAGAGCGAAACGGCUUGGGUUUCAGGGCCCCGUGAACAAAAGGCAAGUCCGGUCUUCAGGGAGAAGCGGGGGUUGGUGAGGCGGGCCGUUGGCUGCUGAGAGGGGCAUGUGGGCACACACUUGAAAGUGUAGCUGUUGGCACUGUCGCUUAAAGCGUAUUUUGCCGUCUCUUUUUUUUUGCAAGUACAUUAGUAGAUUCCGUACUGUGAGUGAAUUGUAUCGAACACAUUCUGCAAGCGUGUUUCAAUACACUUGGAAUACAAUUUAGACCUAUUUUAAUUUGAAAUGAAACAAAGAAUGCACAAUUGCACCAGCUCUCCAACACCUCAGGUCACAUGCCAUCAGACAGCUCCCUCCUAAGAGAAUCAAAAGCGAUCCAACAGCACAAAUAACCUCUGCCACGGCGUAAACAUUUUUCAUUGAAUCAAAUGUGAUUUAUUGACCUCAAAUUCGCAACAGAAAUGAUCCCAAGGCACUUUACAUAUGGAGCAGAUCAAAGACCGCUCUCUUCAUCGAGACACCAACUGAGCCCCCCACGUGUAGAAUCGCUCUGUAACGGAGGCAAGGAAAAACGACCUCUUCGGAACAAACUUAAAACAGACUUGAGACUCGGAGUGGAGCGGCAGUUUGCCUUGACCGUUUGGGUUGAGAAUGAGUGUUAGAGGAGAGGGAGAUGGGAAUGAGCGAAAGGAGAUUUGCAGAUGAGAUAAUAAAGCAGCGUACACUAUAAAUUGUAUUUAGAAUAAUUUUAUGGUGAUUAGUUGUGUUAAUUGUGCAAGUACGACUAAAUUCAUUGCGGCGGAUGUAAAAGUGGCGUUGCUUUUGGCUGUAUAAUCAAAAGUGAGCAUUCUUCAGCUGCUUUUGUUGUUGUUUAUUGGUUGUUAGUUAGGAGGCUACGUUCAUCUCUGCGUUUUAUGUGUUGCACUCAAGCUGGACUACAAUUUCCCAUGUUACUAAAUGCCAAUAAGCAUGUCCCUGCCAUGCUCCCCGGCGGCCAGCCAUCGCGAAACGUCAAGUGCCGGUUUGUGUAAACGCACUUGGAUGCCGUCGGAGCUCACUGGGAGAUAGAGCCGCCGGCUUAAUAGAGCAGAACUGAACUAACGUGGGGUGCAAGGGGUGAGCAGAGGCCAAUGGGGUUGGUUUAAGAGAAGAGGCUUUGUCACCAUGAUACCCAAAGGUGAUUUUAAGUCGUAACCCGCACCCCCCCACCUCCACUUCCCAAACCUUCUCUCUGACACACUCACGGAUACAGACUGCACACCCCCCCCCCCCCCCCCCUUCAUGUUCUCUUUCUGCUCUCUCGUUCUCUCCUUAGGGGCAGGCCGGUAUAAAGUUACACAGAGCUCUCGGCUUUCUUGGAAGGAAUGACCACAUGAGUAGCUUGGGGAUUAGAUUAGCAGGAAGAGCAGACUUAGCCCGGCUGUAAAUAGCCCACUUUUUUCACCAUUAAAACGGCCCAGCACAAUAUAAUCAAUAGGCAGCACUCAUCGGAUGCAGGAAGCCAUAUGAGAAGACCUCCCUCAAGUGCUCUGAAGGACAGACUACAGCAGCUCGCGGCUAAUGAAGUUAUUAUUAAUCACUGGCCCUCCUCUUUUGAACUUGUGUUGUUUCUCUAGUGGCCGAUGAGUGGUCUUUCUACGCAUUGACGUCCCCACGCCGCUCUUCGUCUCACUUUGCGAGGUCACGUCGCGUGACGUAUGACUAAAAUAUUUGCCAGUCUGCAUGCUAGCAAGAAAAUGAAAUUGAAUGCGCCAACUUGAGCUGACGUCACCAUACCAUCUAUUUGCUGUGUACUUUCUCACAAUUACACACCGACAUCACACAGGGGUUGGAUUACCGUGUAAAGCAUCUUGAAUGGCUAUAGAAUUCACAGACGUCUGUGCUCUCGAGUCCCGUCUGACUUUGAAGUUUUCCGCCCUCACAGGACAGAUACUGGCGCCUUGGUGUGUGUGGGUGUGUUCGUAUUUUUCACUUUAAACAUUUUGUUGUAGGUGGCAUUAACACAAUACCGUCUUUAACAUACAGUUGUCCCUCUACUAAAUAAAUGAAUUGGUUCUGGAAAAACUUUAACUCGAAAAUGUCACUAAAUUAGUCUACAAAUGAUUUAUGCACUCCAGUUUAAUGUCUCUUUGUUCAUCUGUCUUUGUAGGCAACAUAUUGUGACGGGCACAACAAUGAAACGCGCUUCCACGCAAUGUUACAUUUAACCUGUGGAUCAUCAUUAUUUCAGUAUGCUGCAUGAUUUGUUUGUUUGGCGGUGUGCUGACAUUUUUGUAAAUGUGCCUCAGCACAACGAAAGUUGGAAAACAACCCCGUCGUACAUUUAUUAAGUGAUGUCUAUGCUGACGAAGGGUAUCUGUUUGCCAGAGUGAAAUUUUCCAAACAUUCAAAGAAAAACGGGGUCAUUUUAAACAUACCCUUCGUUGUUCGUGCACUUUUCUUUUGUAGCUCUGUUGUUACAAGACAAGUGGUGAGCACAUUGUGUGAACUUUUUUUUUUUUUUUUUGAAUGACACUGUGAAAAUAAACACUGACUUUGAGCAUUGCUUAAAACCUGAGCGACUCUGGCAGGAUACAUCUGUAAGCACUUAAAAUAAAAGAGAGACACCUCUAAUACUUUAAUAGCGCCGUGUUGCAGAGGCUUUCGGGGCACAAGGUGUUCUCAGUGUUAACGUACACUUACGUGUGUCUGCGCCGAUCUCAUCAAGUAGCAAAAAAAAAAAAAAAAAAGGCCAGAAAAAAUAACCCCAAGUGUGGAUUUGACAACGGAUAAA